GGAGGCUUCGCCUAGUCCGGUCUAUGGCGCCGCACUGCUAAUGCGGUUGGGAGUAACCCUCCCUCGCGGGUUCAAAUCCCGCAGCCUCCG
rnacentral:tRNA from 5 species